UACAGAGGGUGCGAGCGUUAAUCGGAAUUACUGGGCGUAAAGCGCGCGUAGGUGGCUUUGCAAGUCGGGUGUGAAAUCCCCAGGCUUAACCUGGGAACUGCAUUCGAGACUGCAUUGCUAGAGUAUGGGAGAGGGAAGUGGAAUUUCCGGUGUAGCGGUGAAAUGCGUAGAUAUCUGGAGGAACACCGGUGACGAAGGCGGCAUCCUGGACCGGCAUUGACGCUGAGGCGCGAAAGCCAGGGGAGCAAACGGG
rnacentral:rRNA from 1 species